rnacentral:rRNA from 1 species
GUCCGUCGUCGCGCGGGUCUAUCUGGUUCUAUCUGGUCCGUGGACCAGAUCGUUUACUUCUUUUAGAUGAACCGUGUAAGACGGCUCAGAACGAACAGUGCUUCUCGAUACCGGCCGCCGCCGAGGACAGCUACACUCCAUCCCCCACUCCCGACGAAGGCUGCGGCGGCUCUAGCUAACCGAAGAUGACGACGCUGGCAUGGAGUUCCUGCUGGACGCGGUUAACAGAUUUCCCCUCCGGGAAGAAUUCGCGGGCAGCUUGGACCACCUAGAUCCGGUUCCUCUGGCGGGGCUUCCGAGGAUUGAUGGCACCCGCGUUGAGCCGGCUGACUCGAUCGCUGGGUCUGGGUGUGGGCACCGUAUUGACAGCGCUAACCAAGGGCGCCCAGACGCCGACGAGAUUCGCACAAUCUACCGAGAGGGUGAAUCCGGAGGCACCUGGAUAGGCAAAAAGGUUACAUCGAGGGAGCACGCCGCCUGAUAGAACCCCAUGCCCAUCUAGGAUGAGUGCCCUAGAGCAGUCAAUCCGCAAGUAUGCAGAGGAACCAACGGAAGUGUAGUUCGUCCUGAAGUGGGACGGAGUUUCGACUUACUCGGCGAGGCGUACGACUUCUACAAUUUGUAUUCAUGGGAGAUUGGUUUUGGCAUAAGGUGUGGGAAAAGCUGAUUGACCGCGAAGAGGAUCAAAUCGAUGCAGGAGAUUGUCUGCGUUUGUUCGGUGCGCUGUUAGAUCAUGCUUGCUCGAGUAAAUAAAAAUAGAGAAAAACUGAAAAUUGUCACUGACAAGCAUGUCUAUUUUCUUCCAAAAUAGGGGAAGCCAGAGACAGAGAAUAGCAGAUGAUGGUGUUAGGAACACGCUGAAAGUGUUUGCUGACAUUGUUGCAAGUGACCCGGACUUCACGUACAGAGUUCUUGCUGAUAGUGAUAGCAGGGUUAAGAACCUGAUGUGGACAAAUGGAAAUAGUCGGAUGCAGUACCGGCGCUUUGGCAAUGUCGUUACAUCCGACACGAGUUGGAAUAAAAAUAAUUCUCUUUUUAUUUCUUCUAAUUUGAUCAAUGAUGGCAUCAUAAGGUGCAUCUAAUGUCAAUUCCAGAUAUUUUAAAGUUCGCAGUCAUAUCCUGUCAAAUUUAAAUCAAAA